GACGAACGCUGGCGGCGUGCUUAACACAUGCAAGUCGAACGGAAAGGCCUCUUUCGGGGGGUACUCGAGUGGCGAACGGGUGAGUAACACGUGAGUAACCUGCCCUUGACUUUGGGAUAACUUCAGGAAACUGGGGCUAAUACCGGAUAGGAGCUCCUGCUGCAUGGUGGGGGUUGGAAAGUUUCGGCGGUUGGGGAUGGACUCGCGGCUUAUCAGCUUGUUGGUGGGGUAGUGGCUUACCAAGGCUUUGACGGGUAGCCGGCCUGAGAGGGUGACCGGCCACAUUGGGACUGAGAUACGGCCCAGACUCCUACGGGAGGCAGCAGUGGGGAAUAUUGCACAAUGGGUGGAAGCCUGAUGCAGCGACGCCGUGUGCGGGAUGACGGCCUUCGGGUUGUAAACCGCUUUCGCUCAUGACGAAGCUUUGUGUGACGGUAGUGGGUAAAGAAGCACCGGCUAACUACGUG
rnacentral:rRNA from 1 species